rnacentral:rRNA from 1 species
GAUGAACGCUAGCGGGAGGCUUAACACGUGCAAGUCGAGGGGUAAAUGGUAGCAAUACUAUGAGACCGGCGGACGGGUGCGUAACGCGUAUGCAACAUACCUUGUGCAGGGGGAUAGCCCGUGGAAACGCGGAUUAAUAUUCCAUAGUCCAGCUAUAUCGCAUGGUAUAGUUGGUAAAGAUUUAUCGGCACAAGUUUGGCAUGCGUCUGAUUAGCUUGUUGGUAGGGUAACGGCCUACCAAGGCUACGAUCAGUAGGGGUUCUGAGAGGAUUAACCCCCACACUGGUACUGAGACACGGACCAGACUCCUACGGGAGGCAGCAGUGAGGAAUAUUGGUCAAUGGGCGGAAGCCUGAACCAGCCAUCCCGCGUGAAGGAAGACAGCCUUACGGGUUGUAAACUUCUUUUCUGUCAGAAGAAUAAGCUUGUCGAGACGAGUGAUGCCGGUAUGACAGGAAUAAGCAUCGGCUAACUCCGUG